rnacentral:lncRNA from 1 species
AGAGAUGCGCAGUGCUGCCCCUUUCUAUGGGCAGGGCCGAAGGUCCGCGUGUAAAAGUACCCAGUCCCUGGUAACCUGACACUUCCCUUUUAAAAGCCACCUUUUGUCUAUCUCUGGCCUGCCACGAUUCUUCCUGUGCUCCAUAGGAGGACCCAUUGGACCCCCGGGCUGGCUGCAGGGCCCACACCUGGGUUAGACCUCGCACAGGGACGCUGCUGCCACUGUAAUAAAGCGUGCCUACACGCUUCUGAAACUGGUGUAGGAACAACCUCAGUUCUGUGAAAGGCGGACGCAGCAGGACAGAAUCUCCGUGGACAUCUGUCUGGAGGAGCAAUUUUACUGCGACAUUUUAAAGAAACAAAUUUAAUUGAUUUCCAAGGGUGUCCAUCGCGCUUCCUUCACUGCCUUGAUCAUGUCGGGGUCACCACCUGCGGGGGUUUGUCCUGCAGACCCUGACUCAACGACGGAUGAAUAAUGUACACUGACACAGAUCUUAUGCUUGUCAGUCCUGCUGAGCAUCCAGGCCACUUACAGACUCCAAGAAGAGUCCUGUCAGCCACGGCUCUGACUUGUUGGCCCUCCCGGCAUUUAUUUAGCACACAUUUAAUGACAGAAGUCUCAGGUAAACACCACUAGAAGGCUGGAAACACUCUUUUUGUAGAACAUACAAAUGGACAUUUCUAAGCACAUUGAGGCCUAUAAUGAAAAAUCAAAUAUCCCACAAUGAAAACUAGAAGGAAGCUAUCUGUGAUAAUGCUUUGUGGUGUAUGGAUUCAUCUCACUGACUGAAACCUGAGUUUUGAUUCACCAGGUUAAAAACGCUCUUUUUGUAGAACCUACAAAAAGACAUUUCUGAGCCCAUUGAGGCCUACAGUGAAAAACCAAGAAUCCCAUAAUACAAUCUAGAAAACAAGCUAUCUAGGAAACUGUUUUGGAUGUGUGGAUUCAUUUAACAGAAUGGAAAUAGUGUUUUGAUUCACCAUGUUUGAAACACUCUUUUUGUGGAAUGCACGAAGAACAUUCUUUGUGGAAGAACAUUGAUGCCUAUAGUGAUUAACCAAAUAUCACGUGAUGCAAACUAGAAACAAGCUAUCUGUGAAAAUGCCUUGCAGCGUAUGGAUUCAUGUCACAGAGUUACACCUAUGUUUUGAUUCAACAGGUUGGAAACAAUCUUUUUGUAGAAUCUACAAAGGAAUAUUUCUGAGCCAAUUGAGUUCUAGAGUGAAAAACAGAAUAUCCUGUGAUAAAAACUAUAAAUAAGCUCUCUGUGAAAUUGCUUUGAGACUGUGGAUGCAUCUUUCAGAGUUAUGCCCUUGCUUAUAUUCAACAGGUUGGAAACACUUUUCUUGUAGAAUCUAUGAAGGGAUAUUUCUGAACCUAUUGAGGCCUAUGGUGAAAAAUUGAAUAUUCUGCGAUAUAAACCAGAAACAAGCUCUCUGUGAAAAUGCUUUUCCAUGUGUGCAUCCAUCUUACAGAGUUAAACGUUUGUUUAGAUUCAACAGGUUGGAAAUACUCUUUUUGUAGAAUCUAUGAAGGGAUAUUUCUGAACUUUUUGAGGCCUAUUGGCAAAAUCCGAAUAUUACGUGAUAAAAACUAGAAACAAGGUAUCAGUGAAAAUGCUUUGUGAUGUGUGGGUUUAUCUCACCAAAUAAAACCUGUGUCUUGAUUCACCAGGUUGGACACACUUUUUUUUCUAUAACCUACAUAGGGCGAUUUCUGAGCCUAUUGAGGUCUAUAGCAAAGCAACAACAACAAAUAUCCUGUCUUAUAAUCUAGAAAGAAGUUAUCUCUGAAAAUACUUUAUGAUGUGUGAAUUCAUCUCACAAAGUUAAACCUUUGUUUUGAUUCAACUGAUUGGAAACACUCUUUUUGUAAAAUCUAUGAAGGGAAAUUUCUGAGCCCAUUUAGGCCUAUAGUGAGAAACAGAAUAUCCCACUGUAAUAAGUAGAAACAAGCUAUCUGUGAAAAUCAUUUAUGGUGGCUGGAUUCAUCUCACCAAAUGAAACCUGUGCUUUGAUUCACCAGUUUGGAAACACUAUUUUUAUAGAAUCUAUGCAGGAAUAUUUCUGAUCCCAUUGAGGCAUAUGCUGAAAAUUCGAAUAUCCCAUGAUAAAAACUACAAACAAGCUAUCUAUGAAAAUGUUUUGUCAUGUGUGGAUUCAUCUCACAGAGUUAAACCUUUGUUUUGAUUCAUCUGUUUGAAAACACGCUUUUUUGUAGAAUCUAAGAAUCAACAUUUCUGAGUGCAUUGAAGCCUAUAGUGAAAAACAAAAUAUCUGAUGAUAAAAACUAGAAACAAGCUAUCUGUGAAAAUGCUUUGUGAUAUGUGGAUUCAUCUCAAAGAAUUAAACUUUAUUUUGAUUCAACAGGCUGGAAACACUGUUUUCGUAGAACCUACAAAAAGACAUUGGGGAGCCCACUGAGUCUUACAGUGAUAAACCAAGGAUCCUGUGAUAAAACUAGAAACAAGCUAUCUGUGAAAAUGCUUUGCAGUUGGUGAAUUUCUUUCAUAGUUAAACCUUUUUUUAUUCAAUACGUUGGAAACACCAUUUUUUAGUGUCUCUAAAGGGACUUUUUCAGCCCUUUGAAACCUAUAGUGAAAAACCAAAUAUCUUGCAAUAAAAACAAAUAAACAAAAAAGAA